AGUGAACGCUGGCGGUAGGCCUAACACAUGCAAGUCGAACGGCAGCACAGGAGAGCUUGCUCUCUGGGUGGCGAGUGGCGGACGGGUGAGGAAUACAUGGGAAUCUACUCUGUCGUGGGGGAUAACGUAGGGAAACUUACGAUAAUACAGCAUACGACCUAAGGGGGAAAGCAGGGGACCUUCGGGCCUUGCGCGAUGUGAAGAGACGAUGUCGGAUUAGCUAGUUAGCGGGGUAAAGGCCCACCAAGGCGACGAUCCGUAACUGGUCUGAGAGGAUGAUCAGCCACACUGGAACUGAGACACGGUCCAGACUCCUACGGGAGGCAGCAGUGGGGAAUAUUGGACAAUGGGCGCAAGCCUGAUCCAGCCAUACCGCGUGGGUGAAGAAGGCCUUCGGGUUGUAAAGCCCUUUUGUUGGGAAAGAAAUCCAGCUGGCUAAUACCCGGUUGGGAUGACGGUACCCAAAGAAUAAGCACCGGCUAACUUCGUGCCAGCAGCCGCCGUAA
rnacentral:rRNA from 1 species